rnacentral:tRNA from 1 species
CCUUCAGUAGUGCAGAUGGUUAAUAUAUUUGGCUGCCAAACAAAAGGUUGGAGGUUCAAAUCCACCCAGAAGAA